UAGAACAUUAUCGCAAGUACUUUGAUUCAUGUAAACAGUCAGAUUGAUGGCUUGACACUUGGAGAGGUGUCAGUGUUUGGAGUUGCAAACCCACCCCAGAAGGUUUUUGUUAAUGGAGUCUCCAUUUCUGACUUCUCCUUCCGUUUGGACACAAAGGUACUCAGUUUGCCAAAACUGUCUUUGCCAAUUGGAAUGGAGUUCACAAUCACGUGGUCAUGGGGAAACUAAACCCAGCUAAGUGAAACAACAAUGCAAUCCUACCAUGUACACUGCAGCCUUUUCUGCACUUUAUUCAUAAAUGAAGAGAAUGAAAGAAAGUUAACUAUGCUACAUGUUUUAUAAUGCAUCAAUUCUAAUGAAUAAUCCAAGUAAAUAAAAGAACAUAAACUGCACUAAAGUUAAAAUUGAUAAUUUUGUUGAUGAAUCCAUUUGAAAAGGUCUAAAAUGGUGGGUGGUGGUCUGUCUGCUUCUGUUUAAUUACAGACAAAUUUCAUCUUGCAAGGUUACAGAUAACACUGUUAUUCUACCUUAAGUAAUUACCUAAAGGUUUCCUGUUUCUGAGUCAAGUUUCUGUUAAAGUAUGGUUGGAAUGUUGUUCAGUAACUGUGUGGGACAUAGGUUAUUACGCAUUAUCUCCUUUUGAAACCUGUCUUCACAAUUUACAGUUUGAAAGCGAUUCCUGGUAGAAAGCAGUCAUGCAUUUGUCUUCAAAUUAUUGCAUUCAUGUGUUCAUUUUACAGAGGAGUGCAGAGUUGUAACACAGUAGAGUCUGAUAGUUAUGAACCUUGGCUAACAAAUCACCAUGUUUGUACAGUAGUAUAUCCAGUUCUUGCAGAAGUUAAGACAGAAGUGAGAAGACUGACAGAUCUAAUUUUCCUAAUUGUAAUCCAGCUUUGCUUACAGCUCUCUCAUCUUUUCUAAGAGAUCAGUUUAAAAGGUAUUUUACUUCUGUAGUGGUGAGCUUUGAUAACUGAUUUGGUUUAUGUUUUACACUGUUUUGUUUAUUAAUACUGCCACUUAAUUAUGACAAAUCAGAACAUAUUUUGUGGAAUUUUUUCAUAAUAAAAUGUUAUGAUUUUGA